rnacentral:misc_RNA from 1 species
AAGACUAUAGACCUGCGGAGUACCUGCGGAAGGAUCAUUAACGCGCCGUGGAGGUUGCCUUUAAACAGGUCUGACCUUCCACCUGGCCACCCUUGUUUAUCUUUAACCUGUUGCUUUGGUGGGCCCGCUGCAAGGCCGCUGGAGAAUUUAAAAGUUUUCUGGCCCGUGCCCACCAAGGUCCUAGUGAACUCUUUGUUAAUUUUCUGCUGUCUGAGCAUUAAAAGAAACAAUUUUUAAAAC